UCGCCUUACUUACCAGAACGCUCCUUUGGUU
rnacentral:piRNA from 1 species